GAUGAACGCUGGCGGCGUGCCUAAUACAUGCAAGUCGAGCGAACGGACGAGAAGCUUGCUUCUCUGAUGUUAGCGGCGGACGGGUGAGUAACACGUGGAUAACCUACCUAUAAGACUGGGAUAACCUCGGGAAACCGGAGCUAAUACCGGAUAAUAUUUUGAACCGCAUGGUUCAAAAGUGAAAGACGGUCUUGCUGUCACUUAUAGAUGGAUCCGCGCUGCAUUAGCUAGUUGGUAAGGUAACGGCUUACCAAGGCAACGAUGCAUAGCCGACCUGAGAGGGGAUCGGCCACACUGGAACUGAGACACGGUCCAGACUCCUACGGGAGGCAGCAGUAGGGAAUCUUCCGCAAUGGGCGAAAGCCUGACGGAGCAACGCCGCGUGAGUGAUGAAGGUCUUCGGAUCGUAAAACUCUGUUAUUAGGGAAGAACAUAUGUGUAAGUAACUGUGCACAUCUUGACGGUACCUAAUCAGAAAGCCACGGCUAACUACGUG
rnacentral:rRNA from 1 species